CUUCUCCCAGGCUUGUCCCUGCACUGAGGCAUGGUGAGAGCUGCUGCUGCUGAGGAUGGUGCAGUCAGACAGGUUCCUCACAGCUGAAUCCUGUGCAGGUCGAUAUGCUCUGCUGUGAAUGACCCAAACAGGAUUGACUUUUCACUAAAAAAUAAAUCACAGAUCUGGUGUGUGGCCAUGCAAACCUUGUUGCAGACUGGAUCCAGGAAGAUCUUUGGGUCUGCUAGCAGCAACUCUUCUGCUUCUGUCCUUGAAGAAUUUUCAUAACUGAAGCAACACAGCUGUCAAGUUUGCAGGGAUUUUUCUUUUUCUUCAGCUGAUGAGUUGAUCACUCACACAGCAGUCCAAGCUUCCUGAAAGUGGGAAAUGGUGGAGAGAGGCUGAACAAUCCAGGGGCUUGAGUAAUCCCCAAGAAACAGCAGAUACACCACCUGUUUGUUUGCACCCUACUUUGAGAGCCAUUCAUUGAUUUUUGCUGGACUGUCAUUCACAAGGAAGGAAGGCAGGUAGAAGAAAAUGAACCAACAUGUUUCCUCAGACGCACAGCUACAAGCUUCUUAAACUGAUCUUCACUUCAGCACAAGCCGCAGAAGCUUCACACUCAGCAGAGAAUUCCCAAUGAGGCCUUGGGAACACUCAGUAUCUGCCUUCAACAAAUUAAUCCCUCAGGAGAUAAGAAUCCAACAUCUUAGAAGGAAUGAAAA